AACGAACGCUGGCGGCAUGCCUAACACAUGCAAGUCGAACGAUCCCUUCGGGGAUAGUGUCGCACGGGUUCGUAACGCGUGGGAACCUGCCCUUAGGUUCGGAAUAACUCAGAGAAAUUUGAGCUAAUACCGGAUAAUGUCUUCGGACCAAAGAUUUAUCGCCUUUGGAUGGGCCCGCGUUGGAUUAGCUAGUUGUUGGGGUAAAGGCCGACCAAGGCGACGAUCCAUAGCUGGUCUGAGAGGAUGAUCAGACACACUGGGACUGAGACACGGCCCAGAAUCCUCCGGGAGGCAGCAGUGGGGAAUAUUGGACAGUGGGCGAAAGCCUGAUCCAGCACUGCCGGGUGAGUGAUGAAGGCAUUAGGGUUGUAAAGCUCUUUUACCCGGGAUGAUAAUGACAGUACCGGGAGAAUAAGCCCCGGCUAACUCCGUG
rnacentral:rRNA from 1 species